rnacentral:rRNA from 1 species
AACGAACGCUGGCGGCAUGCCUAACACAUGCAAGUCGAACGAGACCUUCGGGUCUAGUGGCGCACGGGUGCGUAACGCGUGGGAACCUGCCCUUAGGUUCGGAAUAACUCCCCGAAAGGGGUGCUAAUACCGGAUAAUGUCUUCGGACCAAAGAUUUAUCGCCUUUGGAUGGGCCCGCGUUGGAUUAGCCAGUUGGUAGGGUAAAAGCCUACCAAGGCGACGAUCCAUAGCUGGUCUGAGAGGAUGAUCAGCCACACUGGGACUGAGACACGGCCCAGACUCCUACGGGAGGCAGCAGUGGGGAAUAUUGGACAAUGGGCGAAAGCCUGAUCCAGCAAUGCCGCGUGAGUGAUGAAGGCCUUAGGGUUGUAAAGCUCAUUUACCCGGGAUGAUAAUGACAGUACCGGGAGAAUAAGCUCCGGCUAACUCCGUG